UUCAACAUACCUUCAUCCAAACUUCAAAGUCACUAUCCAAACCAUUGGAAGACCUAACACAUUAUUUUCGUCCAGUUUUAGGCAGGUCUAAACAAUGAACUUCGUGCCUUGAAAUGUAAGCUGAACAAACUUUGCACCAUGGUCGUGCCUUGAAAUGUAAGCUGAACAAACUUUGCACCAUGGUCGUGCCAUUAAGAAUGAAGAAAUGAAAACGCCAAUUUAUCCUUCCUAUCGAUGUCAAACUAACGAAAACUGUAAAAAAUUAUCAAUUGACUAACAUUGUGACC
rnacentral:lncRNA from 1 species